rnacentral:rRNA from 1 species
AGAGUUUGAUCCUGGCUCAGAUUGAACGCUGGCGGCGUGCUUAACACAUGCAAGUCGAACGAGAAAGGGGCUUCGGCCCUGAGUAGAGUGGCGCACGGGUGAGUAACGCGUAGGUAAUCUACCCUUAUAUUCGGGAUAACAUCGCGAAAGCGGUGCUAAUACCGGAUAUCUUUGUAUGGACGCGAGUCUGUAUGAGGAAAGGUGACCUCUCCAUGGAAGUUACCGUAUGAGGAUGAGCCUGCGUACCAUUAGCUAGUUGGCAGGGUAAAGGCCUACCAAGGCGACGAUGGUUAGCGGGUCUGAGAGGAUGACCCGCCACACUGGAACUGAGACACGGUCCAGACUCCUGCGGGAGGCAGCAGCUAAGAAUCUUCCGCAAUGGGGGCAACCCUGACGGAGCGAUGCCGCGUGAUUGAAGAAGGUCGAGAGAUUGUAAAGAUCUUUUCUGGGUGAGGAAUAAGUGUGGUAGGAAAUGACUGCAUGAUGACGUUAACCCAGGAAUAAGCCCCGGCCAAUUACGUGCCAGCAGCCGCGGUAACACGUAAGGGGCGAGCGUUGUUCGGAAUUAUUGGGCGUAAAGGGCGUGCAGGCGGCUUUACAAGUCUGUUGUGAAAUCCCGGGGCUUAACUCCGGAUCCGCGAUGGAAACUGUAAGGCUUGAAUCUUGGAGGGGGAGUUGGAAUUCCUAGUGUAGGGGUGAAAUCUGUUGAUAUUAGGAAGAACACCGGUGGCGAAGGCGAACUCCUGGCCGAAGAUUGACGCUGAGGCGCGAAAGCGUAGGUAGCAAACAGGAUUAGAUACCCUGGUAGUCC